GACGAACGCUGGCGGCGUGCUUAACACAUGCAAGUCGAACGGAGAACGAGGGAGCUUGCUCCCUGCGCGACAGGGGAACACGGGUGAGUAACACGUGAGCACUCUGCCCCGCACUCGGGGAUAUGCGUGGGAAACGACGUAUUAUACCGGAUACGCCCCGGCUGGACGUCCUCUCCGCGAGGAAUUCAGCGGUUGGGGAUGUGCUCGCGGCCUAUCAGCUUGUUGGUGGGGUAUUGGCUCACCAAGGCGCUGACGGGUAGCCGGCCUGAGAGGGUGACCGGCCACACUGGGACUGAGAUACGGCCCAGACUCCUACGGGAGGCAGCAGUGGGGAAUAUUGCACAAUGGGCGCAAGCCUGAUGCAGCAACGCCGCGUGCGGGAUGACGGCCUUCGGGUUGUAAACCUCUUUUAGCAGGGACGAAGCGAGAGUGACGGUACCGGGAGAAGAAGCACCGGCUAACUACGUG
rnacentral:rRNA from 1 species